rnacentral:rRNA from 1 species
UAGAUACCCUAUUAUAUUUAAAUUACUUUAGGUAGUAUUAAUUUUUUAAAAACCUAUGCAGUUUGGCGGCAUUAAAUCACUUUAGAGGAACCUGCCUUUUGAUCGAUACCACACGAUAAAUUUUACUUUUAUUUACAUCUUAUAUACCUCCGUCUCAAGGGUUAAUAAUUUUGUUCUCCCUAAAAAGAAUUCUAACAAGUUAGGUAAAGGUGUAGACUAUACAAAAGUUAAGGUGGGUUACAAUAAAUUUCAUUUAAGGAUUUUAAAUAAAAUUUAAAAAUGAAAAAGGAUCCAUUAGUAAUUUAAGGGUAUUAUCCUUUUAUGAAGUUGAUAAACAAUGUGCACACAUC